GAUGCUGAGUUGAUCAAAGCUAUUGAGGCUGUCCCUGACCUUAAGAACUAUCUUGGUGCUCGGUUCUCUCUCAGGGAUGGUGACAAGCCCCAUGAGAUGACCUUCUAAGUUGCUACAAGUUCCUGAGUUUUGGAUGUGUUUUGCCUAGAUUGUUGCUGAAAUUUGUACCCUGUUAGUUGACUUCCUAUGUCAGUUGAAGUGACCGUAAGAUAUUAUGAGAAGAUCAAGAGAAUCCUUAUCUGCUUUGGUGGUUCUUUUUUUACUUAUGCUUAAUGGAACAGUUUGUCGUGUGUUAUUUGUGAUGCUAUUUGUUUUCAUUUUCAUUCCUUCUGCUGAUGUUUCUACUGGUUAUCAUGUUGUGAUUUAGGUCAAUAUAGUG
rnacentral:lncRNA from 1 species